AUUGAACGCUGGCGGCAUGCUUUACACAUGCAAGUCGAACGGUAACAGGCCGCAAGGUGCUGACGAGUGGCGCACGGGUGAGUAAUGCAUCGGAACGUGCCCAGUCGUGGGGGAUAACUACUCGAAAGAGUAGCUAAUACCGCAUACGAUCUAUGGAUGAAAGCGGGGGACCGUAAGGCCUCGCGCGAUUGGAGCGGCCGAUUUCAGAUUAGGUAGUUGGUGGGGUAAAGGCUCACCAAGCCAACGAUCUGUAGCUGGUCUGAGAGGACAACCAGCCACACUGGGACUGAGACACGGCCCAGACUCCUACGGGAGGCAGCAGUGGGGAAUUUUGGACAAUGGGCGCAAGCCUGAUCCAGCAAUGCCGCGUGCAGGAAGAAGGCCUUCGGGUUGUAAACUGCUUUUGUACGGAACGAAACGGCUCUGGUUAAUACCCGGGGCUAAUGACGGUACCGUAAGAAUAAGCACCGGCUAACUACGUG
rnacentral:rRNA from 1 species